UACGUAGGUGGCAAGCGUUGUCCGGAAUUAUUGGGCGUAAAGCGCGUGUAGGCUGCCCUGCAAGUCGGAUGUGAAAGCCCUGGGCUCAACCUAGGAAGUGCAUUCGAAACUGCAGGGCUGGAGUCCUGGAGAGGCAAGCGGAAUUCCAGGUGUAGCGGUGAAAUGCGUAGAUAUCUGGAGGAACACCCGUGGUGCAGACGGCUUGCUGGACCGUGACUGACGCUGAGGCACGAAAGCGUGGGUAGCAAACAGG
rnacentral:rRNA from 1 species